ACCAUCCGUCCUAUCAGAUGGAAUCCGAGUCCGAUCGGCGGUGCAAGCGUUCCGCCGGCCCAAAGUGGCGGUGCAGCGAAGCUGCGUCGCCGGGGAAAUCGUACUGUGAGAAGCACCUCACGCAGCUUAAGAAUCAUAGGCAGAAACACAAGAACGAAGGUUCCAAGGCGGAGCAGAGAGCAAAGAAGAGGACAGUCGCGGAUCUCAGUAGUGGAUCGGAGGCUGAGUUGAUUGGGAAUUCGGCGAGAAAUCAAAAGCGGACAAAGAAGAACGUGAUUGAUCAAGACAAUGCAGGUGGUUGUGGCAAGUCACUAAUGAAUGUGUUUCAGGUCAAGAAGGACUCACGAGCCAAAAUUGGAGUUCAAGAUACCAAACAACUGGGCUUUUCCAGCAAAACCAAGGAGAGUGGAAGUUUAAUGUGUCAUCAGUGCCAACGGAAUGAUAAGACUGGCGUUGUCUUUUGCUCAAGUUGCAAUGCAAAACGCUAUUGUUAUGAAUGCCUUGAGAAGUGGUACCCAGGAAAAACCUGGGAGGAAGUUGAGAAUGUAUGUCCAUUUUGUUGGGGCAAUUGCAACUGCAAAGCUUGUUUGCGGGAGGUUCCAGUGCUUAGGCAACCAGAAGUAAAUCCCAGUGUCAAAUUACAACGACUGCUGUACUUACUAUGUAAAGCUCUGCCAGUUCUGAGGCACAUUCACAGGGAGCAGAGCUUUGAAUUAGAGAUUGAAGCCAAAAUAAGGGGUAAUCAACUACAAGAAAUUGACGUAACAAGAACAAAGCUAGAUGAAAGUGAGCGCUUGUACUGUGACAAUUGCAGUACAUCUAUAAUUGGAUUUUACCGUAGCUGCCCCAACCCCACUUGCUCUUAUGAUCUCUGUCUCAUGUGCUGUCAAGAGCUCAGAGAGGGUUGCCAACCUGGAGGCGUAGAAGCUGAAACAUCUCAAGAACAAUUUACAGAGAGAGUUCGUAUUCAUGAUUUAACAAGAAAUAAGAGUAAAACACAUCGUAAGAGAUAUGGGUGGGAGAGCCAACUUGCACCUACUAGUUUUGAUUCUCAAACUGAUGACUUAUCUCCCUUCCCUGAAUGGAAAGCUAAUAGUGAUGGCAAUAUUCCAUGUCCUCCAAAGCAGCGUGGAGGUUGUGGUACUGGAAUACUAGAACUGAGACGCACUUUCAAAGCUAAUUGGGUAGCAAAAUUGCUAAAUAAUGCUGAGGAUCUCACUAGAGACUGCGCGCCACUGGAUGAGGAUAUUACUGAAAGAUGUUCUUUAUGCCGGCCAAAUUUGGUUGAAGGAAAAAUCAAUCCUGAAGUCCGGAGGGCAGCAUACCGGGAUGAUAGUAAUGAUAAUUUCUUAUAUUGUCCAAAUGCCCUUGACAUAUCUGAUGAUGAGAUUGAGCAUUUCCAGAGGCACUGGAUAAGGGGAGAACCCAUUGUUGUGAGAAAUAUUCUGGAUAACACAUCUGGUCUUAGUUGGGAACCGAUGGUUAUGUGGAGGGCUCUUAGAGAAACAGGUUCCAAAGUGAAGUUCAAAGAGGAAACACGAAGUGUGAAGGCCAUUGAUUGCUUCGAUUGGUGUGGGGUUGAGAUUAAUAUUCACCAAUUUUUUAAAGGCUACCUAGAGGGUCGAAUGCAUAAAAAUAAUUGGCCAGAAAUGUUGAAAUUAAAAGAUUGGCCUUCAUCGACCUCUUUCGAAGAGCGAUUACCCAGGCAUGGAAUUGAAUUUCUCGCUGCACUCCCCUAUAGGGACUACACUGACCCAAAAUCAGGUCUUUUAAAUUUUGCCAGUAAACUUCCUGAUAGCUUGCCGAAGCCAGAUUUGGGACCCAAAACCUAUAUUGCUUAUGGAUUUUCUGAAGAGCUUGGUAGAGGAGAUUCUGUCACAAAACUGCACUGUGAUGUGUCUGAUGCGGUCAAUGUGCUGACACACACAAACAAGGUGAAUAUAGCUCCCUGGCAGAGAGAAAGCAUAAAAAAAUUGCAGAAGAAAUAUGCUGAAGAAGACUCUCGUGAACUUUAUGGUGAAACAUUAGUUGAUGUUGAUGGAAGAUCUAAAUCUACAUCAUUGAAUCAUGAUCAAAAGGCAGAGAAUAGAGUUAACAGGAUUUCACCUAGUAGCCAAAUGGAUGAGUGCAUUUCAUCUAUAGCUGAAGACAUGAGUGGGAAGUUAGAAACACAGAACACUGAACAACGUGAUGAGAAUAGAAAUUGCUCUGGCACCUGUAGAAAUGUCGCUGACAGGAGCUCCUCUGCAGAAGAUAGUGUAGGUAUAACAUCUACUGGAGUUUCAGAUCAGUCCAGGACUUUCGAACUAGAACAUGUUCCAAGCAGCUUAGCUUCAACUAAUACGAGCAAUAAGAAAGACAAAAUGAGGAGUGAUUUUCUAGAUGUUAACAUGUCUGGCGAUCAAAAGUUAAGAGAGCCAAAACAAGGCCUCAGGAAAGAUUCUUUGGAAACUGAAAAUGGACCUGAGGUUGUCCAUGGUGGUGCUGUUUGGGACAUCUUUCGUCGUCAAGAUGUCCCGAAGCUAAUUGAGUACUUAAGAAACCACAAGAAGGAAUUCCGUCAUAUCAACAACCAUCCUAUAGAUUCUGGAGACAGUAUUCCUAGCUUCACAAUUGAAGCUGAGUCAUUUCCAAAGCUGCCUUUUCCUAUACUAUCUAACUCUACUAGUUUGCCGGAACUAGUGACUUAUUCUGGUGACCCAGUUGAAUCAAAUCCUAUGCCAACUAAGGCCAAAGAUGGUUCACCACAACUAGUGUAUCCAAGGAGAAAAAAGUCUGGAUUGGUCCAACAACAACUUCAGUCAUAUGAUCCUGCAGUAAGUACUAUACAUAUUGUUCCUCAUAACAUUGAAUCUGAUCCAGCAAAAUAUUCCUUUGAAUAAUUGUGAGACUGAUCCCGUUAACUUACCCAUUGUCUCGAGAAAAGAAAAAAGAUCUUGUACCAUCCUAUUUCCAAGCUUGUUUCUUUUAAAAGUCUUCCCUCGCAGCAAAAGAGUUUUAUUUCGUCCCUUGAUUCUACUAGAAUUCCAACAUAAAUUCAAGAAGCAUUAAAAGGCUAGAAAUGGACUCAAGCCAUGCAUGAAAAGAUGAUUCUUCUCCAUCGGAAGUUGUUGAUUGACAAAGAGGAAAGAGAGUAGUUGGUUGCAGAUGGAUCUAUACUCUAAAGUAUUGGUCUGAUGGUACACUUGACAGGUAUGAGGCGAGGUUAUACAUCCCAUUCAUGAUCAGACUCUAUUCUUAAAUGAGAGGCAUAAGAAACAGCUGAAAAGGGAGUUUAAUGUUGAACCAUGGACUUUUGAGCAACACCUUGGUGAGGCUGUUUUCAUUCCAGCAGGGUGU